rnacentral:rRNA from 1 species
UACGAAGGGGGCUAGCGUUGCUCGGAAUCACUGGGCGUAAAGGGUGCGUAGGCGGGUCUUUUAAGUCAGGGGUGAAAUCCUGGAGCUCAACUCCAGAACUGCCUUUGAUACUGAAGAUCUUGAGUUCGGGAGAGGUGAGUGGAACUGCGAGUGUAGAGGUAAAAUUCGUAGAUAUUCGCAAGAACACCAGUGGCGAAGGCGGCUCACUGGCCCGAUACUGACGCUGAGGCACGAAAGCGUGGGGAGCAAACAGGGA